GCUGGGCAUGGUGGUGCACACCUGUAAUCCCAGCAGCUAGGGAGGUUGAGGCAGGAGGAUCAAGAAUUCAAAGCCAGCCUCAGCAAAAGCGAGGUGCUAAGCAACUCAGUGAGACCCUGUCUCUA
rnacentral:sRNA from 1 species